rnacentral:rRNA from 1 species
UACGGGGGGGGCAAGCGUUGUUCGGAAUUACUGGGCGUAAAGGGUUCGUAGGUGGCUGGCUAAGUCAGACGUGAAAUCCCUCAGCUUAACCGGGGAACUGCGUCUGAUACUGGAUGGCUUGAGUUUGGGAGAGGGACGCGGAAUUCCAGGUGUAGCGGUGAAAUGCGUAGAUAUCUGGAGGAACACCGGUGGCGAAGGCGGCGUCCUGGACCAACACUGACACUGAGGAGCGAAAGCCAGGGGAGCAAACGGG